UACAUCAACAUUUCAGAAUAGAAAGAAAUAAUUUUUUGUUAGCUCUUCAUUAUUUACAUUAUUUAUUAGAUUAUUUAGUGAUGAAAUUUAUAUUUACAAGGUUUCAUAACGAAUCAUUCAUGAUUGGCCAAAUCAUUGAUACAAAUAAUAUCCAAAUACCAAAUCCGCCUUCUAGAUAACCUUCGCGAAAUGGAAGAAACCCUUGGAAAGGUCAGGGAAAAAACUUGUUCUUCUUCCGUAAAGAAUUCUUCUAAUAAUUCCGAGCCGAAUCUUUUCAAAAAAGCACGUACAGUGCUUUUAUGCUUACGAGCUAAAGUUCUAGCACAAGAAAGUCGAAGUAUAUACUUUACUCGAUACAAACUCUUUUUUUUUGAAGAUCCACUAUGAUAAUGAGAAAGAUUUCUGUAUAUACGCCCAAAGCGGUCAAUAAUAUCAGAAUCUGAGAAAUCGGCCCAAAUCGCCUUACCAAUAGGAUGCCCCAAUGCAUUACAAAAUUUAGAUUUAGCCAAUGAUCCAAUCAAAGGCAUAAUUGGAACAAUAGUCUCAAACUUCUUAAUAGCAUUUUCAAUUAUAAAUGCAUUUUCUAGCAUUUGACUGCGUACCAUUGAAGGCUUUAGCCGCACACUUGAACGAUAACCCAGAAAGUCAAGGGAAUGAUUGGAUAAUUGGUUUAUAUAAAUCCUUCCUGGUUGAGACCACAGGUAAAAAUAAGAUUUCCAGAAAUUGACAAAGUAAUAUGUCACACCCCAAAACCGGAACGGCGGAAACGUUCUGGGGUGGAUGACGUCAUGUCAAGUAUCACAACACGUGCAUUAUAGUAAUCAAGUACAACAAAACAUUGCAUUAAUAGUAAUAAUUUUACAUGAUUACAUUACAACAAUUCAAAGUAUACAAGUAAUAGAAUAAAUACAGCGUGGUACUAAGCUAUCUUCAUCAACAGCUCCGGGGGUGUACUUGUCUAAUGCUAACCUGAGAAUACAAGUUAUUUGAAAAGCGAGUAUCAGCAUUUUUACAAAUGCUGGUGAGUUCAUAAGAAUUUAGUGACGUUUCAAUCAAAUAACUUUAAUAAGUAGUAGUUUAAGUGUUUUCUGUGUAUUAGAGUUCUUUCUAGAAAAUCCUAUAUUUUCUUUAAUAAAAGCAGCCUUCUACCAAGACUUGUCAGUGUUAUGUGGUAAAAGUAGUUUUCCCUUAAUUGCUAUCGUUAUCAAAAUACUAAAUUUGAUUAUUAAGGAAGCAAGAGACAUCAGGGAAAUACAUAUGCCUCAGCAGUGAGGACCGCUGACUAAGGCAAAGGAAUCAUAGACUCCUGGAGAGUAUCGCACUAAUACCACGCCCGGUUCAGUCUAACAAGUAGAGACACAGACCCUAGAAGGUACCAAAUGAAAGGUACAGCUGGUAAGGUCUAAAACAGUGAACAACAGACCCCAGACAGUAUCAAAUGAAAGAUGCGUCUUGCAAGGUCAAAAUAAAGAAAACAGACCCCAGACGGUAUCAAAUGAAAGAUACAUCUUGUAAGGUCAAAACAGAGAAAACAGACCCUAGACAGUAUCAAAUGAAAGAUACAUCUUGUAAGGUCAAAACAGAGAAAACAGACCCCAUACAGUAUCAAAUGAAAGAUACGUCUAGUAAGGUCGAAACAAUGUGACUCUGAGAAUGAAUUACCAGCAUACAAUGUAAAUUGCCGGUGAAAUACCAUUACCUUAAAGCCAAUGAAUUAUAAGGUAACCCGGGAUACUCGUAACCAUACUGACUAGAGUACCAGACGCCCUACAAGCGUCUAAAAUGUGACAUUUGUCACCCGUUGGCUUGGUAGGCCGGGACUGUAGCUAGCAGUCUGGGUGCGGGGUUGUCAAUCCCGUAUAGAUCUAUACACACAAUGUCCGCUCUCCCUACAGGAGAUUCUGGUUACCAACUAGACGACGGAGAAGGCCGUGUCCUGAAGAUGCAUCCCAAAUAGUGGGUAGAGACUUCCAAAUAGUGGGUAUUAUGUAAGUGCUGAACUAGAGGUAGAGACUUCUAAAUAGUGGGUAGUGUGUUAGUGCUGAACUAGAGGCAGAGACUUCCAAAUAGUGGGUAGUGUGUUUCUAAUGUAAGUGUAGACUAGAGGUAGAGACUUUUAACUGAACUGACUAGAGAAUUCAUGUAUGUCCAUACUCAUAUACAUAAUAUAUAACUAAUGAAUCAAACGACCUUCGGACGGCCAUCCGAUCCCACCAGACCACAUCUCAACGAAGAAAAGGAAAUAGGGCGGACAAGCCUUCCUAAGUCCUUCAACCAUUAUUUAUAUGCAUCUAUACAAGCACAGACAUACAUCUAACUACGCUUGAGUGUGUAUCAAGUGGAAUCAUAUCGUGAAGUAUAAGUGUACAGUGUGGAAUAACCGACUUGUGAAGUAUAAGCGUACAGUGAAAUAUCCGAGUCGUGAAGUAUAAGCGUACAGUGGAAUAUCCGAGUCGUGAAGUAUAAGCGUACAGUGGAAUAUCCGAGUCGUGAAGUAUAAGCGUACAGUGGGAUAUCCGAGUCGUGAAGUAUAAGUGUAUAGAGUGGGAUAAUCGAAUCGUGAAGUAUAAGUGUACCAAGUAUAAGUGUAUCACGAAGUGGAAACGACAACUGGUGAAGUAAAAGCGUCUAUCAAGUAUAAGAGGCUACAAGUAUAAGCGAUAUAGAGACAAUAACCGGUAUAAGCGUAUCACGAAGGAAAUGCGUUAUCAAGUAGGAGUUUUAAAUAAGUAAAAGCGAAGCAGCAGUAACAAACAAGUAAAAGUAUACGUUGUGAAAGAGAACUUUGAUUAAAAUCUUGUAAAACCUUUAUAAACCAGUUUAAAGUGAGUUUUAAAUAAAGCAGUAUAAAUAAGAGUCUUGAAACAAACGAAAACCCUUUUUGAAAACCAUUAUAGUGUCCUACUCGGUAAAACAGUGUACAGUGUGGUAAAAUCUUGUGCAUGCGGGUUAUCAAUCACAUGUGAUUGAUAUGAUAACUGGCAUGUUUAACUUGUAUUCCCCCCUAUAAAACAUGUAAAAACAUUAAAAGGUUCAUUCAGGGGUAUGAACUCACCUGGUGUAAGUAGGUCCGACGAAGGUGUCGUUUGGGCGUUCGGUGUCACGUAAGGACUCGAACACACACAACGACCUAUUUAACAUAUGAUAACAUAUGUUCACAUACAAUUAGUAUAUUUAAUACUAAUUAAACAAAUAUACGCACUCAAAGGAGUGGAAAACACUUUGGUUAAGUGUUUGGGUGUCCCGGGUAGCGUCUAAAGGUGUGUAUGGCUUAGGUAUGGAGUUUACUCUCCGAGAGUAAACUCCCAAAGCUUAGUUUACGGCCCAGGGACAUCUCACCAUGAGUUUACGGCCGUAAACUCAUGGUGAGGGGUUCUAGUGUGUUUCAAAGCUUAAUCUUCUUCAUGGAAUUAUUCUAGGUCCAAAUCUAAGUGGUAUGGAUGAGUUUAAGGCUUCUAAGGGCACCAUUAUGAAGUUUACGGCCCAUGAACCAUCCCUAAGGGAGUUCACGGUCGUUAAUUCCUAUAUCAUGGAUUUAAUGAAGUUUUAAGCCCUUAAAUCAUUCCAAGCAUUUUAUAAAAAUAGUCUAAGGCCCUUUGGGGGGUAAAAACCAACAUUUGGGCAUGUUUUGGGGAGUUUACGGCCUUGACACAUGUUUGNGCUAAAGUUCUAGCACAAGAAAGUCGAAGUAUAUACUUUACUCGAUACAAACUCUUUUUUUUUGAAGAUCCACUAUGAUAAUGAGAAAGAUUUCUGUAUAUACGCCCAAAGCGGUCAAUAAUAUCAGAAUCUGAGAAAUCGGCCCAAAUCGCCUUACCAAUAGGAUGCCCCAAUGCAUUACAAAAUUUAGAUUUAGCCAAUGAUCCAAUCAAAGGCAUAAUUGGAACAAUAGUCUCAAACUUCUUAAUAGCAUUUUCAAUUAUAAAUGCAUUUUCUAGCAUUUGACUGCGUACCAUUGAAGGCUUUAGCCGCACACUUGAACGAUAACCCAGAAAGUCAAGGGAAUGAUUGGAUAAUUGGUUUAUAUAAAUCCUUCCUGGUUGAGACCACAGGUAAAAAUAAGAUUUCCAGAAAUUGACAAAGUAAUAUUUCCAUUUAUUCAUCAAAAGAAACGUCCCUUUUGAACCAAGAAUGGAUUUUCCUUGAUACCUAACAUAAUGCAUGAAAGGAUCUUUGAACAACCAUAAAUUCGCUUGAAAAGCCCUGGCAAAGACUUCUGCAAGAUGAUCUAUUUUUCCAUAGAAAUAUAUUCGUUCAAUAAGGGCUCCAGAAGAUGUUGAUCGUAAGUGAGAAGAUUGGUUACGGAGAAAGAGGAAGCCGGAUUCAUAUUCACAUAAAUGAGAAGUAUAUAGGAAGAAGAAUAGUCUGUGAUUUCUUUUUGAAAAAGAAGAACUGGCUUUCUUUGAAUUUGAAGUAAUCAGACUAUCCCAAUUAUGACACUCAUGGAGAAAGAAUCUUAAUAAAUGCAAAGAGGAAGCAUCUUUUAUCCAAUAGCGAAGAGCCUGAACCAAGAUUUCCAGAUGGGCUGGGUAAGGUAUUAGUAUAUCUAAUACAUAAUUUAAAUGUGAAAAGUUGUCCUCUAAAAAAGAAAAUAUUGAAUGAAUUGAUCGUAAAUUAUCGGAUUUGACUACCCCUUUCCUUUCUAGGUAAGAUAUUAAUCGCAGAGACAAUGGAAUUUCCAUAAUGAUUGAAGAGACCUCGGACAUUACUUGCGAAUAAAAAUUCUUGUUGUGCCCCAAAAAUGGAGUCUGUUUAGAAUUAUUAACCGAAAGAAUCAAAUGAUUCUGUUGAUACAUUCGAUUGAUUAAACGUUUCACAAUUAGUAAGCUGGAUUUAUUGUCAUAACCUGCAUUUUCCAACAAAAUCGAUCUAGUUAAACCAUGAUCAUGAGCAAGUACAUAAAUAUACUCCUGAAAGAUAAGUGGAUAUAAGAAGUGGUGUUGUUGAGAUCUAUCUAGCCCUAAAUAGCUUUGGAAUUUCUCCAUUUGAAAUUCUAUUUAAAUGAAAGGUAGAGGAUUUUGGGGGUUAUCAAAUGAUACAUA
rnacentral:lncRNA from 1 species